rnacentral:rRNA from 1 species
UUGGAAUGAUGGGAAUUUAAACCUCUUCCAGAGUAUCAAUUGGAGGGCAAGUCUGGUGCCAGCAGCCGCGGUAAUUCCAGCUCCAAUAGCGUAUAUUAAAAUUGUUGCAGUUAAAAAGCUCGUAGUUGAAUUUCUGCUGCAUUGCUUUUGCUCCUUUACGAGUCUUUGCAUUGUGGCUUAUUUCGGACUUUGUUUUACAAUGUCCGGAUGUUUACUUUGAGAAAAUUAGAGUGCUCAAAGCAGGCUUUCGCCUUGAAUAGUUUAGCAUGGAAUAAUAAAGUAGGACUUUGGUUCUAUUUUGUUGGUUUUAGGUACCAAAGUAAUGGUUAAUAGGAACAGUUGGGGGCAUUCGUAUUUAACUGUCAGAGGUGAAAUUCUUAGAUUUGUUAAAGACGAACUACUGCGAAAGCAUUUGCCAAGGAUGUUUUCAUUAAUCAAGAACGAAAGUUAGGGGAUCGAAGACGAUCAGAUACCGUCGUAGUCCUAACCAUAAACUA